rnacentral:rRNA from 1 species
AAUAGAUACCCGGGUAGUCCACGCCGUAAACGAUGAGUGCUAAGUGUUAGGGGGUUUCCGCCCCUUAGUGCUGCAGCUAACGCAUUAAGCACUCCGCCUGGGGAGUACGGUCGCAAGACUGAAACUCAAAGGAAUUGACGGGGGCCCGCACAAGCGGUGGAGCAUGUGGUUUAAUUCGAAGCAACGCGAAGAACCUUACCAGGUCUUGACAUCCCAUUGACCGCUAUGGAGACAUAGCUUUCCCUUCGGGGACAGUGGUGACAGGUGGUGCAUGGUUGUCGUCAGCUCGUGUCGUGAGAUGUUGGGUUAAGUCCCGCAACGAGCGCAACCCUUGUUCUUAGUUGCCAUCAUUUAGUUGGGCACUCUAAGGAGACUGCCGGUGACAAACCGGAGGAAGGUGGGGAUGACGUCAAAUCAUCAUGCCCCUUAUGACCUGGGCUACACACGUGCUACAAUGGACGGUACAAACGGUUGCCAACCCGCGAGGGGGAGCUAAUCCGAUAAAACCGUUCUCAGUUCGGAUUGUAGGCUGCAACUCGCUAC